UGUAGGCGCCAUCUUGGGGGGCGCCUGGCAAGCGUCGGCGUAGGGGAUUUGGGCAGUGUGGGAUGUAGAGACACGCAAUGUCCUGGAGGCCGGCGAAUUACAGUCCAAGAACUCCUGAGGGCCAGUGGCAAAAAAAAUGAAACACCACUCGGGGUAUCUUUCCGGGUGACCGCCCUUCCACACAGUUGAGUAUCCCUAGGCAUGGGGAAGAUUCCAUGGAAACACAUGAAGUUCCAGGCCAGCCGGGGUUAUGAGAGACCCUGGCUUCAGAAAGCAAACAGACAAAAAUAAAGUGGAAAGGCAGGAAGAUGGUUCAGCUCGUAAAGCCACAUGCUAAGCCUGAUCUGGAGUUUUGACUCUGGGAUCCACAAGGUGACUAGAAGACGAGGGCCUCUUCUAGCUUCCCACUCAUCUCCACCGGUCUCCAGGAGUUCUCUGUGCACAAUGGAGAGUUCUCCUCUUCCUCCCUCAACAUCUCCAGCCUGUUUCCAGAGGUUUUCCUGUUCAAUUUCCACCAGCUUGCCAUGCCUGCCCCAGUGGACCUCUUGUGUCUGUGAACCACAUGACUGUCUCUGUGGGUCUCCUGUACCCAUGGGACUAUCUCCAUCAGAAGACCUCUCCUUGCUUUCUAGGCCCUGUAUAUACUUCCCGGCUGCCCCUUCUGUGUAUGGCUCUGUAGUCUGAGGAGACUUUCUAUGUCUUCCCCUCUGUCUCUGGCCUCUCCCACCUUCAGACACCUCUGUCCCAUAUGCUGUUCUCUGUCCCCAUGUAGCUUGCUUUUCCCAGUCCUUGGCUUUGUGGAGUUUGUGGGCCUUAGCCCACCUCUCUAGGGUCUUGAUGGCUGUCUUUCUGUUUCUCUGCGUUUUUCUCCAUCUCUGUAGUCCUUUCUCCCCAUCUCUAGGCCCUUCAGUCAGUUCUCCCCACCAAGGCCUCUCAGCUCCAUGGGCUCCAGAACCCUGGGCUGCCUGGGCAGGGCGGUGGCAUGGUGUGGUUGGAGGGGGUGGCCCCGGGGGUGGGCCCUUCAUCCAAUGCAGCUCGCCCUUCUCAUCAGCAUUCUCCUCGCAGGGCCCCCCAUCCCCGACCAAUACGAUCUCCCCCUCCUCUGCUCCCCUCCCUCCUUGCUCCCUGCCUGCUUCCCUCCCUCCCUCCUGCCCGCCCUCCUCCCAGCCUCCCUCCCUUCAUCUCU